UUAACUCGUAUUGAAAAGAAUUAAGCCAUAUUUUUCUGGAUAUGGUCUUACAUCGUCAGUUUUGUUUAACUACUAAUGUUGCCCUUCUUAAUUUCGUAAAUUCUUGAAAGUAACUGUAAUGGAUUUGCAGGGGAAAAGUGGAAAGUUGAAACCAUUAUGUGGUGCACAUAACUUAAAUCAGUUUAUGGAAUCAAGGAAUUAUGUAUUUUCACCAUUAUUUGUUUCUGGUCAAUAUGUUUUUAGUUUUAUUCUUGAACAUUUACUGUAAUCAUUUUAAGUCUAGCCUUUUUUAUUUCCGCUAUAGAUUAUGGUAAUUUAGAAUGCAAAGAUCGAGUGCUCAUUUUCUCUUGAGCUUAUUAUUUAUGCUUACUGUAAUUUGGUUAUCUUAUCAAGUGCAGAUAUUGGGGCAGGAAAUACCUCAAACUUCAUCAAUAAUUAUGCAAUUAGCAUGCCAAAUUUAGCGGUUCACAUGGCUUUUGAUGUAGUUGAUCAGAUGUUCAAAGCAGGUUUAACCUUAUCAAUAGAAACAUUUCAUUCCAUAUUACAUGCAUGCGAGGAGAGUUGUGACUACAAGUUGGUACUAACAUCACUAGUUUUUAAUUUCUCACUUUUCUAAAUCUAUUAAGACAUUAUGUGAUUUGGAGUUGGAAAUUAGCUAAUAAUUGUAGAUUGGGAAAAACCUAGAACAGAGAACAGAAAACAGAGAAGAGUGAGGUUUUUUUUUUUUUAAUUUGUAAUUUCAUCUCUCUUAUAUCAAUUUAUUUUAGUUGAUUUUGUUUCUCUCA